AGGUUCAGCUGCAACAUAGAAUGAAACAAGAAGCAGAACAGUUUUGACAGUGGAAAGCCUCCCGGGAGAAGGAACUUGUGCAGAUGGCAGAAAGAGCGAGUAUGAAAGGCAUAAGCUACAAGCUUCGAAUCAGCGCCAGAAAAUGGUUCUUCAGAGGAAGAUAGAAGAGGCUGCAAUGGGUACCAAGAGAUUAAAAGAAUUGUUGGAAGCUCGAAAAUCUUCUCCUCGUGAACACACAAGUGGUACACACGGUUUUGGAACAAAUUAGGUGCGCAUUCACCAUAUCACCUUCAUUACAAAUCUAAUUUAGUUCAUACUCUUCUAUACCAAUGAGAAGGCGUUGCAGCGAUGGCUAGAUCAUGAAUUGGAAGUCAUGGUGAAUGUACAUGAAGUACAAGAAACAAAGCCAUGUGUAUGUGUCCCUAAUGCAUUUAGCCUUUGUAAUAAGUUAAUCAUCACCAAGACUGUUCACUUUGUGUGGUUAGCCUUGUCAAAGAGUUUUCUGUGUUAAGACAAGUGGAAGAGUUGGCAGUGAAAGGCUUAAGUCCUCCAAGAGGGAAGAAUGGCUUUGUUAGGGGAUCAUCGUUGUCACCUAAUGCAAGGAUGGCUCGAAUAUCUUCACUUGAGAACAGCUCGGCAUAUCUUCAAAUUCUCUAGUAGCCAUGGCCUCACAACUCUCUGAGGCAGAAGAACAGGAACAUGCUUUAACAAACUGCCUGCUGGAACCAGCUACGUUCAGUGGGAGAGGCAAAGAACUUGCUUCAAUAUAUGUUCAACUCUCUUGCAGAAACAAGGUGCCUCCAGAUUCCAAGUGACACACCUCUAACAUCAAAGAGAAUAUAUUUCAGCGGUAAAAUUAGCCUUCAACAAGUGUGUUCAUGUCCUUUCUUUGUGCUCAUGCAGGUGCCAAGCUUCUUCCUUAAUUCCUUGAUUUCUUAACUCAAAUGUUUGCAUUUCUGCUUGCUGGAUAUGUUGGUUUGUAUUUCGUCUAGAAUGGAAAAGGAUCAUGUAAAGCAUAUGGAACUCUUUCUCGUGAUAUACUUUUACUCAGCUGUCCUUCUUAUAUCUGCUUUUUCUCUAACAUGUUCAUUUCUUACA